rnacentral:rRNA from 1 species
GAUGAACGCUGGCGGCGUGCUUAAUACAUGCAAGUCGAACGGAGAGCUAGAAAUAGUUCUUAGUGGCGAACGGGUGAGUAACGCGUUGGUGACCUGCCCCGAAGAGGGGGAUAACAGUUCGAAAGGACUGCUAAUACCCCAUGAGGUCAUAGAGGUUAGAGGCUUUAUGACGGAAGGAGAAAUCCGCUUCGGGAGGGGCCUGCGUCCCAUCAGCUAGUUGGUAAGGUAACGGCCUACCAAGGCUUCGACGGGUAGGGGACCUGAGAGGGUGGCCCCCCACAAUGGAACUGAAACACGGUCCAUACACCUACGGGUGGCAG